rnacentral:rRNA from 1 species
AUUGAACGCUGGCGGCAUGCCUUACACAUGCAAGUCGAACGGCAGCACGGGAGCAAUCCUGGUGGCGAGUGGCGAACGGGUGAGUAAUAUAUCGGAACGUGCCCAGUCGUGGGGGAUAACGCAGCGAAAGCUGUGCUAAUACCGCAUACGAUCUAUGGAUGAAAGCGGGGGACCGCAAGGCCUCGCGCGAUUGGAGCGGCCGAUAUCAGGUUAGUUAGUUGGGGGGGUAAAGGCCCACCAAGGCGACGAUCUGUAGCUGGUCUGAGAGGACGACAGGCCACACUGGAACUGAGACACGGUCCAGACUCCUACGGGAGGAAGCAGUGGGGAAUUUUGGACAAUGGGCGCAAGCCUGAUCCAGCAAUGCCGCGUGCAGGAUGAAGGCCUUCGGGUUGUAAACUGCUUUUGUACGGAACGAAACGGUGAGCUUUAAUACAGUUUGCUAAUGACGGUACCGUAAGAAUAAGCACCGGCUAACUACGUGCCAGCCGCCGCAGUAAGAC